rfam:Haemonchus placei strain MHpl1 genome assembly, scaffold: HPLM_scaffold0000102
GACCUAUGACGAGACUUACACGACGGUCUUCUGAAUUAGAACUGUAGAUGCUUUACGUGUGCUGAGGC